CUAACAUAAGUUAGGUCAAAAUCCCCUGAUGUAGGGAUGGUAGAAGGCAAAGCAAAACUUGACAGAAGAGUGUAGUUAGCCUAUGCCUAAGCUGGGGAGAGAAGACUGGCAUUCAACCUAUAAAAACAUGUGCAUCCCCCAGACCCAGACUGUCAGCCCUAGGUCCAUUCCAGAGACCACACACUGUCUGAUAGCCCCACCACACCUGGAGGGUUGCGAGCAGCCUCAGUAAGGAAGGCUGAUGUGUCAUCGCUGCCAGUCUGCUGCCAGUCUGCACCAGAGUUGAUUGUAUGUAGCAUCACAAGCUGCUUCCCAUUGCUGCUGAUUGAUCUCCAUCAUGUGCUCAGCUACUGGGAUGUCGACAGCUAUCUUAGGUAGGCAAGUACUCUGCUCACUUGUAGCUUGCGUGCUGGCAUC